GGUACCGCUGGACGGGAACGGUCCCGAGGGUUGGGGAGCCCAGUGACGGAUCGCAUUUCUGAGACGGUGUCGGGUCAUAGGGAGCCUGGCGUCAUCGUUCCAGCGAAGGAG
ncrna:unclassified sequences Actinomyces-1 RNA